AUGGCUCGAUGGAAAGAAGCCCAAAGAUCUCGCACCUCUGGUCUUCGAGAUCUUUGCCAACAAGAACAAAUCUGUGUGAAGAAGGCCUUGCUUGAAAACAAUUGGAUCCGGUGGAUCAACCUUUUGGGAGGCCUCUUGGUGGAGCACAUCGAGCAAUUUUGUGGCCUCUGGGAGAAGAUUUAAGAGGUGCACUUACAUGACAACGUUGCUGACGACAUCAGAUGGAACAUUGCCGCCAACGUGCUCUACUCCGCGGCCUCGGCUUACAAGGCCCAGUUCGAGGGCUCUAUCAUCUCACCCAUGCCCAAGAUGGUGUGGAAUAGUUGGGCACCGCCUAAGUGCAAAUUCUUUGCCUGGCUUGUCAUCAAGGAUAGGGUCUGGACCGCCGAUCGACUACAGCGGAGAGGUUGGCCAAACUGCAACUUAUGCCAGCUUUGCAAGAGGGAGCUGGAGACUGCUAUGCAUCUCCUCUUCAAAUGUAGGUUCUCCACUCAUUAUUUGGAAUGCGGUCAAAGCUUGGGUGGACGCGCCGGAGUUGGAUGUAGCGACAUAGGCCGGAAUACCCUCCGUCAGUGA
rnacentral:rRNA from 1 species